rnacentral:rRNA from 1 species
ACUCCUACGGGAGGCAGCAGUGGGGAAUUUUGCGCAAUGGGGGAAACCCUGACGCAGCAACGCCGCGUGAGUGAUGAAGGCCCUUGGGUCGUAAAGCUCUGACAGAGGGAAAGAAAUGCAGGGGAGCUAAUAUCUCCCUUGCUUGACGGUACCCUCAAAGGAAGCACCGGCUAACUCCGUGCCAGCAGCCGCGGUAAUACGGGGGGUGCAAGCGUUGUUCGGAUUUAUUGGGCGUAAAGCGCGUGUAGGCGGUUUUAUAAGUCUGAUGUGAAAGCCCUGGGCUCAACCCGGGAAGUGCAUUGGAUACUGUAAGACUUGAAUACGGGAGAGGGUAGUGGAAUUCCUAGUGUAGGAGUGAAAUCCGUAGAUAUUAGGAGGAACACCGGUGGCGAAGGCGGCUACCUGGACCGAUAUUGACGCUGAGACGCGAAAGCGUGGGUAGCAAACAGGAUUAGAUACCCUGGUAGUCCACGCCGUAAACGAUGAGAACUAGGUGUCGCGGGUA